GUUCUGUAGCUCAGUGGCUAGAGCGUUCGCCUUACAAGCGAAAGACCUGGGUUUGAUUCCCGGCUCGGGUGAAACA